rnacentral:rRNA from 2 species
UGGGGAAUCUUGCGCAAUGGGCGAAAGCCUGACGCAGCAACGCCGCGUGCGGGAAGAAGGCUUUCGGGCUGUAAACCGCUUUCAGCAGGAACGAAAAUGACGGUACCUGCAGAAGAAGGAGCGGCCAACUAUGUGCCAGCAGCCGCGGUGAUACAUAGGCUUCAAGCGUUGUCCGGAUUUAUUGGGCGUAAAGAGUUCGUAGGCGGUCGAGUAAGUCGGGUGUGAAAAUUCUGGGCUCAACCCAGAAACGCCACCCGAUACUGCUUAACUUGAGUUCGAUAGGGGAGUGGGGAAUUCCUAGUGUAGCGGUGAAAUGCGCAGAUAUUAGGAGGAACACCGGUGGCGAAGGCGCCACUCUGGAUCGAUACUGACGCUGAGGAACGAAAGCAUGGGUAGCAAACAGGAUUAGAUACCCUGGUAGUCCAUGCCGUAAACGGUGGGCACUAGGUGUGGGAUUCUAUUAACGAAUUCCGCGCCGUCGCUAACGCAUUAAGUGCCCCGCCUGGGGAGUACGGUCGCAAGACUA